GUUAUUAUACUGAUGCAGAUACCACUGAUCCUAUAACCAUCCCUCCUCUGGCUAUAUCCAUGAGCCAGUGUCACUACUGUGUCAUUAUAUAGUGCUGGGUGUUAUUAUACUGAUGCAGAUACCACUGAUCCUAUAACCAGCCCUCCUCUGGCAAUACCCAUGUGCCAGUGUCACUACUGUGUCGUUAUCUAGUGCUGGGUGUUAUUAUACUGAUGCAGAUACCACUGACCCUAUAACCAGCCCUCCUCUGGCAAUACCCAUGAGCCAGUGUCACUACUGUGUCAUUAUAUAGUGCUGGGUGUUAUUAUACUGAUGCAGAUACCACUGAUUCUAGAACCAGUCCUCCUCUGGCUAUACCCAUGUGCCAGUGUCACUACUGUGUCAUUAUAUAGCGCUGGGUGUUAUUAUACUGAUGCAUGUACCACUGACCCUAUAACCAGCCCUUGUCUUGCUAUACUCAUGUGCCAGUGUCACUACUGUGUCAUUAUAUAGUGCUGGGUGUUAUUAUACUGAUGCAGAUACCACUGACCCUAUAACCAGCCCUUGUCUGGCUAUACCCAUGUGCCAGUGUCACUACCGUGUCAUUAUAUAGCGCUGGGUGUUAUUAUACUGAUGCAUGUACCACUGACCCUAUAACCAGCCCUUGUCUGGCUAUACGCAUGUGCCAGUGUCACUACUGUGUCAUUAUAUAGUGCUGGGUGUUAUUAUACUGAUGCAGAUACCACUGACCCUAUAACCAGCCCUUGUCUGGCUAUACGCAUGUGCCAGUGUCACUACUGUGUCAUUAUAUAGCGCUGGGUGUUAUUAUACUGAUGCAGAUACCACUGACCCUAUAACCAGCCCUUGUCUGGCUAUACCCAUGUGCCAGUGUCACUACUGUGUCUUUGUAUAGUGCUGGGUGUUAUUAUACAGAUGCAGAUACACAUCCAGUAUUUCACUCAGGCUUUAUUUAUUCCAUAACUUAUCACCCAAUAUCACUAGCUGUCUCUUGACAAGCCACUAACUUUAUUCACACUAGAUAUUUUUUUUUAUUCCUAUUAUUUAAUCAGAAAGAAAAUAUAUACUAAGUUUGUGGCGGGCACUGCAAGGGCUAGUCAUGGACGCCAGUGUCCGUGUACAGACACCUUGCCUAUCCCUAGCCGCCCUAUCCCUAUAUUGUAGCUAUCUUAGGGUUUAUUUUACAGGUAUGUAUUUAGUUUUAAAUAGGAAUUAUUUAGUUAAUGAUAGUAAGUUUUAUUUAGAUUUAUUUUAAUUAUAUUAAAGUUAGUGGGUGUUAGGGUUAGACUUAGGGUUAGGUUUAGGGAUUAAUAACUUUAGUAUAGUGGCGGCGACAUUGGGUGCGGCAGAUUAGGGGUUAAUAAGUGUAGGUAGGUGGCGGCGAUGUCGGGGCGGCAGAUUAGGGGUUAAUAAUUGUAAUGUAGGUGGCGGCGACAUUGGGGGUGGCAGAUUAGGGGUUAAUAAGUGUAAUGUAGGUGGCGGCGACGUUGGGGGCGGCAGAUUAGGGGGCAUAUCUAUCAAGCUCUGAAUGGAUCUUGAGGCCCCGUGUUUCUGGCGAGCCUGCAGGCUCACCAGAAACACCAGUUAUGAAGCAGCGGUCUAAAGAUGAGGCGGACAGGAAUCGCCGGAAUUCAACCCGAUCGAGUACGAUUAGGUUGAUUGACACCCCUCUGCUGGCAGCCGAUUGGCCGCGAGUCUGCAGGGGGCGGCAUUGCACCAGCAGCUCUUGUGAGCUGCUGGUGCAAUGCUGAAUACGGAGAGCAUAUUGCUCUCUGCAUUCAGCGAUGUCUGUCGGAUCAGGUUCGACAGACAUAUGAUAAAUAGGCCUCUAGGGGUUAAUAAGUGUAAUGUAGGUGUCGGCGAUGUUGGGGGCAGAAGAUUAGGGGUGUUUAGACUCGGGGUUUAUGUUAGGGUGUUAGGUGUAAACAUAACUUUUCUUUCCCCAUAGGAAUCAAUGGGGCUGCGUUACGGAGCUUUACGCUCCUUUAUUGCAGGUGUUAGGCUUUUUUUUAGCCAGCUACCCCCAUUGAUGUCUAUGGGGAAAUCGUGCACGAGCACGUAAAACCAGCUCAAAGCAGCGCUGGUAUUUGGGUGCGGUAUGGAGCUCAAUGGAGCUCAACGCUGCCAUAUUGCCUGCUAACGCGGGUUUAUGCAAACCUGUAAUAACAGCGCUAUAGGGAGGUGAGUGGUUGAAAUAACUUGCAAGUUAGCACCGAGCCGCGCAAAACGCAAAACUCGUAAUCUAGCCGUUUGUUAAUUGUGGUAACACAAUUGUUUUAAAUGCUUUAUAACGUAUAUUUUGUGCUCAGAUUUUUUGCAAUUCUGUUCUUAAUUGCUGAUGUAUACUAUCCAUAUAAAACUGUUGAUUUUAUUUCUCUUUAACUGGUGUAGAAUAACAGCUCAAAAAAUAAGACACAUUUUGUAAAGUGCUUUGGAAAUUUAGGCUGGUAAUUUUUCUUUUCUUUAAAUACUAAACAUUUUAUAUACAAAUCUCAAGGUGUUUACUGUCCCUUUUAAAUGCUACAAUCUUUGGAACAAACCUAUUUAAUUUUGGAUCAAGAAUUUUUAUCCCUAACAGACACAACCAAGCUACAGUUUCUUCUUACAACACUUUUCAUCUUCCACAAAACGCUAAAAGUUGAUAUUUUUAAAUUGGCUUAAAGGGAGAUAAAACAGUAUGAACUAACAAAAGUUAGUUUACCUGCGAAACGAUUUCAGUUUUCACCCCCCUGUUUAACCCCUUUAAUUCAGGCAUAGUUUUUUUUGCAGCAAGCUUCCCCCUGGGUAUUUCCAUAUUUGGAAGGUGCUAUACAGGCCAUAGCUUCUGCAGAAUGCACACGUGCACGGUAGGGGGCAGAGUUACGUGACAAAAGUAGUGCAUAUUAUAAUGCUGAAGCUUUCACAAAGCAUGUGACAUUCUCCCCAUGUAAACAAGCAAGCCUCUUGGCAACAAGCAGUAACAGUACUUUCUGUCCCUCCUCAACCCCCCCCCCUUGCUUGCAUAAGUAAUUAUCCUCACAUACACAUUUUGUUAUAUGAUACCACAAGGUGUUAGUAAUUUUGCAGAUUUUUGGAAAUUUUAUUAAAAUGCUUAUAAGCUUUGUUUUUCUUCUCUUUUUUUUUUUACUCUUUUUUUUCACACACUGUUUUACCUCAAUUGACCCUUUUAUAAUAUGCACAUGACUCAAAUGUUUUAUGGCACUUUAACUAUCAUUUUAAAGUAACAUUUAACAUUUAGAGAUUGUAAAAUGUCUAUUUAUAUGGGGUUAAAAACUUUGCAAUAUACUUUCAUUAUUUUGUCCCCUUUAAUUUAAUUCUGAAAAUUGUGGGAUUUCCAAUUUCUGUUAUAAAGUGGAAGACUCCGGAUAUAACACUGCUAUAUUCCACACAGUCAUUGGCUGAAUACUCUAGCGACCUAUUUAUAGCUAUCCCUGAUUGGGAUCAACAGAGAAAAAAACCAAGGUUACAACACUGUAGUACUUAUUGCUUUCUGGCUGCUAACAUUUUACACCCUUUAUUUUUAAUAUGAAAACAACAAAUAUAAUUUAAAAAGAUACAUCUUUGUAUUAAUUUGCAGCUAAUCUUUGCUUUGAAUAUAUCCUAUCUAACAUAUCAUUUGUGUUUAAUGUAAUUUUAUUAAAUGGUAAAAUGUGUUAAUUUUUUUUAUUAAAAUUUUACUUUUGUAAA